rnacentral:rRNA from 1 species
AACGAACGCUUGCGGCGCGCCUAAUACAUGCAAGUCGAACGACGUAGCAAUACGGAGUGGCGCACGGGUGAGUAACGCGUGGAUAAUCUGCCUAUCAGUGUGGAAUAACUAUCCGAAAGGAUAGCUAAUACCGCAUGAGGCCACAGUUCCUGCGGGAACAGGGGUUAAAGAUUUAUCGCUGAUAGAUGAGUCUGCGUGGGAUUAGCUAGUUGGUGAGGUAACGGCUCACCAAGGCGACGAUCUCUAACUGGUCUGAGAGGAUGACCAGUCACACUGGAACUGAGACACGGUCCAGACUCCUACGGGAGGCAGCAGUAGGGAAUAUUGCGCAAUGGGGGAAACCCUGACGCAGCGACGCCGCGGGAGUGAUGAAGGCCUUAGGGUCGUAAAGCUCUGUUGAAUGGGAAGAAAAAAAUGACGGUACCAUUCGAGAAAGGAUCGGCUAACUUCGUGCCAGCAGCCGCGGUAAAAC